GGACUACUGGGGUUUCUAAUCCUGUUUGCUCCCCACGCUUUCGCGCCUCAGCGUCAGUUCCGGUCCAGUGAGCCGCCUUCGCCACUGGUGUUCCUCCCAAUAUCUACGCAUUUCACCGCUACACUGGGAAUUCCACUCACCUCUCCCGGACUCAAGCAAAGCAGUUUGGAGGGCAGUUCCCAGGUUGAGCCCGGGGAUUUCACCUUCCACUUGCCAUGCCGCCUACGCGCCCUUUACGCCCAAUAAUUCCGAAUAACGCUUGCCCCCUCUGUAUUACCGCGGCGGCUGGCAC
rnacentral:rRNA from 1 species